rnacentral:lncRNA from 1 species
UAAUAGUUAUUUUCGAUAGUGGAACAUUCGAUUCGGCGGUCGAAUUUACUUAACGUAAUUAACAAUAUUAAAAUUAUCUAAAAAUUAAAAUUUAUAAUUUUUUUAACUUUAUGUUUCUUCAAAUAUAUAUGUUGGCGGCUUAAAAGGGCCAGUAUUUUGUCCUAUGACGGAAAGCUAGAUAGGCUAGGCCUAGUCUCAUUCGAAAUGACAGGAGGUUGCGUUAGAGCGAGUUAUGUUCGAAAUGGCAGGAUGCUGAUUGGGUCAAAUUACAAUUGAAAUUCGUAUGCGCUGUAUCUAUAUGUUUUAAGUAAAUUGAUUGUAUUUUUUUAACAGCUCGAGUUUUUGGAAUUAACAUAUAGCAUUAGACUACAAUACUUUCGAAAGUACGUAGACAUAUAUAUUUAUAAGUUAUUUUGGAUAAUUGGACAUUCGAUUCGACGAUCGGUUUUAUUAGAUAAAAUCUGCAAUAUUAAAACUAUCGAAAAACUAAAUUUUAUAAUUUUUAACUUUAUUUGACUAGUAAACGCAUAGACUUUACUAAAUAUGUCGUAUUCAUAAAC